GAAAUGCGAUAAGUAAUGUGAAUUGCAGAAUUCAGUGAAUCAUCGAAUCUUUGAACGCACCUUGCACCCUUUGGCAUUCCGAAGGGUAUGCUCGUUUGAGUGUCAUUGUACUCUCACACUCCCAAUGCUUUUGGAUUGGGAGCGGUGGACUUGGGUGUUGCUGCUUUACAGUGGCUCGCCUCAAAUGGAGUAGUGCAACUCUCGGUUGGACAUAGUACGGCGUGAUAAGUGUCUUCGCCGGCGCCUCACUAGAGGGUGGCUGAUCGGGAGCUCUGUGCUUCAAACCGUCUUCGGACAAUCUUUGACAACUUGACCUCAAAUCGAGUAGGACUACCCGCUGAACUUAAGCAUAUCAAUAAGCGGAGGAAAAGAAACU
rnacentral:rRNA from 1 species